rnacentral:rRNA from 1 species
AUUAAACGCUGGCGGCAUGCCUUACACAUGCAAGUCGAACGGCAGCACGGGGGCAACCCUGGUGGCGAGUGGCGAACGGGUGAGUAAAGCAUCGGAACGUGCCCUGGAGUGGGGGAUAACGUAGCGAAAGUUACGCUAAUACCGCAUAUUCUGUGAGCAGGAAAGCAGGGGAUCGCAAGACCUUGCGCUUUGGGAGCGGCCGAUGUCGGAUUAGCUAGUUGGUGGGGUAAAGGCCUACCAAGGCGACGAUCUGUAGCUGGUCUGAGAGGACGACCAGCCACACUGGGACUGAGACACGGCCCAGACUCCUACGGGAGGCAGCAGUGGGGAAUUUUGGACAAUGGGCGCAAGCCUGAUCCAGCAAUGCCGCGUGCAGGACGAAGGCCUUCGGGUUGUAAACUGCUUUUGUACGGAACGAAAAGCCUUCUUCUAAUACAGGAGGGUCAUGACGGUACCGUAAGAAUAAGCACCGGCUAACUACGUG